AGCUCCAAUAGCGUAUAUUAAAGUUGUUGCAGUUAAAAAGCUCGUAGUUGGAUCUCGGGUACUAGCAUGUGGUACACUUUACAGUUGUUACUACUUGUCUAGUCCUAAUCAAUCAGUUGGCUGAUUAUUCACUUAAUUGUGUGUUUUCAGUAGCUGGUACGUUUACUUUGAGAAAAUUAGAGUGCUUAAAGCAGGCUUUACGCCUGAAUAAUGUUGCAUGGAAUAAUAGAAUAGGACCUCGGUUCUAUUUUGUUGGUUUUGUAGAGCAUUGAGGUAAUGAUUAAUAGGGACAGACGGGGGCAUUCGUAUUGCGGUGUUAGAGGUGAAAUUCUUGGAUCGCCGCAAGACGAACAACUGCGAAAGCAUUUGCCAAGAAUGUUUUCAUUAAUCAAGAACGAAA
rnacentral:rRNA from 1 species